rnacentral:lncRNA from 10 species
GUGGCAUAGAUGGACAAAGAGUUGAAACCUUACCUAAACUGGAUACUCUGGCUGAAAUAUGACAGCAGGGACAAAAAGGAUCAGCUGCAGAGCUUUAGUCUCAGAGGAAGUGGCAUAGCAGAUCGAAAACCAAAGGAGAGGCUCAGAUGUAAUAAAACAAUCUGGGGAUCCAGUUACUAGAAUGAGGUCAUAGGAAAGGGCUAGAUCACACAGAACAAAGCCAGAACCCAACCAGGGCUAACACUCCAAGUGAACCAGCACUAAGGCUGAAUCAUUUGAAUUAUUGUCCUGAGUUCCUUUGUCCCAAGGAAAAGCAUGGAUCCCAUUGCUGUUGUACAGGGUUGAAUAUUAAAGGAGGAGCUUCAGAGAAUCAAGCCUUAAACGAGAAGUCUGCAAAGGUGAGAAGCUAAGCAGGUCUUUAUAUCAUUGUCAAGAAAAAAAGGAGUUUCUUCCUAUUUUACAGGUAGAGGUCCCAAAAUAAGUUAAAGUGACUUAUCUGAAGUCAUUUCAUCAUCAGUUUGGAAAUAGAAAUAGAAUCCAUCAGUCUUAGUUCUUUUUGUUGAUGCCAUCCCUGGUCUACACUCCUUCAUUCAUAAAUUACUUAGCAGCUACACACACUCUAUGCAGGAGGCAGGCCAUGAUUCACAGGCUUAGGUGUUUCAGACAAGGUUUUAUUUCUUUAUUUUCAGUUCCCAUUUUUUUUUUGGCUCUAAAAAUAGCAGCUGUGCUGAACAGUACUCAAUGGAAGAAAGAAAGGAACUCAUUUACAGAGCAGAGGACAAAAAUAGUUUACCCAGCAUUUAUACUAUGCUCUUUGGAGCUCAGGGUCAAAGAUUUCAGCAGGAGUUUUCUUUAGUAACCUAAAUUUACUUACUUUCUUUUACUACAUCAAAAUGGUUUUAAGUGUCUAUUCACAUAACAAUGAAUGUGAGGGUCUAUCCAAUGCCAACAAGUUGGAUCACUACUGAGGUGGAAAUAGCGUGGCUUAAACAAAUCGACAGCAUAUAAUUGAGGUCACAAAAAGAUGUUUUGCUGGCAAAACCCAAGAGGCUGUGGUAAUAAAGUAUGCCUGAAAAUGAGAGUAGAAAAGUAUUUCCCUACGUAAGUGUUACAACUGCAUCAGAUGUUAAAUUCACCUUCAGAAUUAUCUUGCUCAAAAGAGUAGACCUCUGCUUCCUAAUGGAAAGAAGAAAUUUUAAAAUAAAACACAUUUAAACAAGCCAUAUCUAUCUACCACCAAUUUUCUUUCUUUUUUUUUUUUUUUUUUUUUUUUUUUUUUUUUUUGAGACAGAGUCUUGCUCUGUUGCCCAGACUGGAGUGCAGUGGUACGAUCUAGACUCACUGUAAGCUCCGCCUCCCAGGUUCACACCAUUCUCCUGCCUCAGCCUCACGAGUAGCUGGGACUACAGGUGCCCACCACCACACCUCGCUAAUUUUUUUUGUACGUUUAGUAGAGACGGGGUUUCACCGUGUUAUCCAGGAUGGUCUCCAUCUUCCUGACCUGGUGAUCCGCCCACCUCGAACUCCCAAAGUGCUGGGAUUACAGGCGUUGAGCCACCACGCCCAGCUGAUCUGCCACCAAUUUUCUGUAUGACCUCACAUAAGCUUCCUCUGAGCUUUGGUUUCCCAACUGGUCAAUGGCCAUUCCUGGCUCCCCAAAGAGAAACAGUUACCAGAACACCUGGCUGAGCGUGAAGAGUCAUUCAAAUGGCGAAUUGGAAGUACAGCUGAGAUUGGAUUCCAUGGAAUUUUCUCAUGAUAACCCUAGGAAUAUAUGGGGGAAAUGGGUAGAAGAUAAGAGAUCCAGCUAUUCUGAUUCAUGAAUUGCCCAAUGAGAGGGGAUUAGUGGUUUCUUUUUAAUCUGAGAGGAUGUAUUAGAUUUCUAUUGGUGCAAAACACAAUACCCAAAAUUUAGCAACUUAAAACACCACAUUUUAUUAUCUCACAGUUCUGUAGGUCAGAAAUUCAGUAAGCCUGGCUGGGUUCUCUGCUUAGAAUUUCAUAAAACCAAAGUCAAGGCAUCAGCCAGUCUGGGCCUUUAUCUGGAGGUUCUGCAGAAGGAUCUAAUUCUAAACUCGUUCAGUUUGUUGACAGAAUUCAGCUCUUUGUGGAUGUAGGUCUGUGGUUCCCAUUUACUUGCUGGCUGUUAGGUGGGAGCAUCUCUCUGCUUCUAAGCAGCGCCUGCAUCCCUUCAUAUGGGGUCCACUCCAUGGUCAAAGUUAGCAACAGUAUGUUGAAUCUCCUCCAUGCUUUGAAUCUCUGACUUCUGCUAUCAGUAGAGAAAACAUUCUGCUUUUAAGAACUCAUGUGAUGAGCCGGGCGCGGUGGCUCAUGCCUGUAAUCCCAGCACUUUGGGAGGCCAAGGCGGGUGGAUCACGAGGUCAGGAGAUCAAGACCACGGUGAAACCCCGUCUCUACUAAAAAUACAAAAAAAUUAGCUGGGUGCGGUGGCAGGUGCCUG